rnacentral:rRNA from 1 species
UACAGAGGGUGCUAGCGUUGUUCGGAAUCACUGGGCGUAAAGCGCACGUAGGCGGAUUGCUAAGUCAGGGGUGAAAUCCUGGAGCUCAACUCCAGAACUGCCUUUGAUACUGGUGAUCUUGAGUCCGGGAGAGGUGAGUGGAACUGCGAGUGUAGAGGUGAAAUUCGUAGAUAUUCGCAAGAACACCAGUGGCGAAGGCGGCUCACUGGCCCGGUACUGACGCUGAGGUGCGAAAGCGUGGGGAGCAAACAGG